GUGCCAGCCGCCGCGGUAAUACGGAGGGUGCAAGCGUUGUCCGGAAUCACUGGGUUUAAAGGGUGCGUAGGCGGAAUAAUAAGUCAGGCGUGAAAGGUUACAGCUUAACUGUAGACUUGCGUUUGAUACUGUUAUUCUUGAAUUAAGAUGAGGUUGGCAGAAUGCGACAUGUAGCGGUGAAAUGCAUAGAUAUGUCGUAGAAUACCGAUUGCGAAGGCAGCCAACCGGACUUAAAUUGACGCUAAGGCACGAAAGCGUGGGGAGCGAACAGGAUUAGAAACCCGAGUAGUCC
rnacentral:rRNA from 1 species